rnacentral:rRNA from 1 species
CUACUUUCGUCAUGAAAGAAGUUUAAAAGGACGGCGUAAAGCUGUCGCUAAAAGGGAUGGGACCUGCGAUGCAUUAGCUAGUUGGUAAGGUAACGGGCUUACCAAGGCGAUGAUGCAUAGCCCGAGUUGAGAGACUGAUCGGCCACAUUGGGGACUGAGACACGGGCCCAAACUCCUACGGGAGGCAGCAGUAGGGAAUCUUCCACAAUGGACGAAAGUCUGAUGGAGCAAACGCCGCGUGAGUGAAGAAGGUUUUCGGAUCGUAAAGCUCUGUUGUUGGUGAAGAAGGAUAGAGGUAGUAACUGGCCCUUUAUUUGACGGUAAUCAACCAGAAAGUCACGGGCUAACUACGUGCCAGCAGCCGCGGUAAAU